rnacentral:rRNA from 1 species
UACGUAGGGUGCAAGCGUUGUCCGGAAUUAUUGGGCGUAAAGAGCUCGUAGGCGGUCUGUCGCGUCGGCUGUGAAAUCCCGGAGCUCAACUCCGGGCCUGCAGUCGAUACGGGCAGACUGGAGUUCGGCAGGGGAGACUGGAAUUCCUGGUGUAGCGGUGAAAUGCGCAGAUAUCAGGAGGAACACCGGUGGCGAAGGCGGGUCUCUGGACAUUUCCUGACGCUGAGGCACGAAAGCCAGGGGAGCAAACGGG